GGGGUUGUGGCUCAGUGCUACAGUGCUCGCCUGGUAUGUGAGAGGCCCUGGGUUCGAUUCUCAGCACCA
rnacentral:tRNA from 1 species